rnacentral:rRNA from 1 species
AGAGUUUGAUCCUGGCUCAGGAUGAACSCUGGCGGCGUGCUUAACACAUGCAAGUCGAACGAAGCACUUUGAAAGCUUGCUUUCAAAGUGACUGAGUGGCGGACGGGUGAGUAACGCGUGGGUAACCUGCCUUAUACAGGGGGAUAACAGUUGGAAACGACUGCUAAUACCGCAUAAGCACACAGUGCCGCAUGGCACAGUGUGAAAAACUCCGGUGGUAUAAGAUGGACCCGCGUCUGAUUAGCUAGUUGGUGAGGUAACGGCUCACCAAGGCGACGAUCAGUAGCCGGCUUGAGAGAGUGAUCGGCCACAUUGGGACUGAGACACGGCCCAAACUCCUACGGGAGGCAGCAGUGGGGAAUAUUGCACAAUGGGGGAAACCCUGAUGCAGCAACGCCGCGUGAGUGAAGAAGUAUUUCGGUAUGUAAAGCUCUAUCAGCAGGGAAGAUAAUGACGGUACCUGACUAAGAAGCCCCGGCUAACUACGUGCCAGCAGCCGCGGUAAUACGUAGGGGGCAAGCGUUAUCCGGAUUUACUGGGUGUAAAGGGAGCGUAGGCGGCUUGGCAAGUCUGAUGUGAAAGCCCAGGGCUCAACCCUGGGACUGCAUUGGAAACUGUCAGGCUAGAGUGCAGGAGAGGUAAGUGGAAUUCCUAGUGUAGCGGUGAAAUGCGUAGAUAUUAGGAGGAACACCAGUGGCGAAAGCGGCUUACUGGACUGUAACUGACGCUGAGGCUCGAAAGCGUGGGGAGCAAACAGGGAUUAGAUACCCUGGUAGUCCACGCUGUAAACGAUGA